UACGCGAGGUGGGGAUGGAUCACGCUCCUUUUCUAAGGAAACCAAUAAAAUCAAUCAUCUUCAGUUUUGAAAGACUUAGGCAACUAAGUUUUUCUUCGUGACUUCACGAAGGGCCUAUAGCUCAGUUGGUUAGAGCACACGCCUGAUAAGCGUGAGGUCGGUGGUUCAAGUCCAUUUAGGCCCACCAGAGUUAUAGGUUUCGUAAGAACACAAAUUCUUUGAAAAUUAGGUAAAUAAUAGUUAUUUAUCCGGAACAUUAAAGGAAAUAAGAGCGCACAGUGGAUGCCUAGGCACCAAGAGCCGAUGAAGGACGGAAUUCGCCUAAA
rnacentral:misc_RNA from 1 species